AUUGGAGAUCACUGAAUUUACACAAUGGUUGUAAAAUUGGGUUUUCCCGGUUUUGUUAAAAAGUAUUAACUCAACAGGAAAGCACACCAAUCAGUCCAUGCACCAAAAAAAGGGAUUAUUCAUUUCCCCCAGCAUGUAGACCUCGAAUUGCCAAGGUUCCAGAUAUAGCAAGUCAAAAAAUUAAAGUGUCAACAUUUAGGUCUAGGUUUUUUGGGUGAUACAAAAUGAUGGCCACUUAGAGCUGGGUGAAAAGGAAAAACAAUCAAGAAGAGUUUGAACAGCACUUAGUAUUAACUACAAGCCACUACAAAAUCUUCUAUGAUCUAAGGCAGAGGAAAAAGAAUUAACGAUGUGACUGACAACCUGAAGAAAAUGGAAGAGAGACAUGCAUUGGCACUAAAGAUUCUUCCAACAACCCUGAAAGUUUUGUCAACCACCAUAAAAAUCAUCAGCUUUAUCAUUAAAAAACUACUUUGUCAAGACAUGGAGAUAGAAUACAAAAGUGCUUCACUACCACAAAGAAGUUUGCUGGCUCUCAAGAAGACAAGGAUUAUUUCAACUAAAGUUCAAGCCUAAAUCUUUCUUCAACCACAGUCAAGUACUUUCUUUUCUUUUUUCUUCCUUCCUUUCUCUUUUUCUUUCUUUUCUUUUCCUUUCUUUUCUUUUCUCUCUCCCCUUCCUUCCUUCUUUCCUUCCUUCUUUCCUUCCUUCUUUCCUUCCUUCCUUCCUUCCUUCCUUCCUUCCUUCCUUCCUUCCUUCCCUCCUUCCCCUAUCUUUUAAAGAAAGGAUAUUUAUCCAUAGGCUGGCUUACCUGACAGAUAUUUUUAACAACGUAAAUGAGGCAUACCUUUCAAUACAUGGUCCUAAAAUCA